rnacentral:rRNA from 1 species
GACGUAGGGUGCGAGCGUUGUCCGGAAUUACUGGGCGUAAAGCGUGCGCAGGCGGUGAUGUAAGACAGUUGUGAAAUCCCCGGGCUCAACCUUUGAAAGCCGAUGGAUACUGCAGGGCUAGAGUCCGGAAGAGGCGAGUGGAAUUCCUGGUGUAGCGGUGGAAUGCGCAGAUAUCAGGAGGAACACCAAUAGCGAAGGCAGCUCGCUGGGACGGUACUGACGCUAAGGCGCGAAAGCGUGGGGAGCGAACAGG